rnacentral:rRNA from 1 species
CGCAUCUGUGCAUGCAGCAUAUCAAUAAGCGGAGGAAAAGAAACUAACAAGGAUUCCCUCAGUAACGGCGAGUGAAGCGGGAAGAGCUCAAAUUUGAAAUCUUGAAAGGGUUCACCUUUCACGAAUUGUAGUUUAAAGAAGUGUUUUCUGUUACGAGUCUGGUAAUAUAAGUUCUUUGGAAUAGGACAUCACUAGAGGGUGAGAAUCCCGUCUAUGAUUGCUAUUUGUAACUUUGUGAUACACUUUCAAAGAGUCGGGAUUGUUUGGGAAUGCAGCCCAAAACUGGGAGGUAAAUUUCAUUCUAAAGGCUAAAUAUUGGCGAGAGACCGAUAGCGAACAAGUACCGUGAGGGAAAGAUGAAAAGAACUUUGAAAAGAGAGUUAAAUAGUACGUGGAAUUGUCAAAAGGGAAGCGUUUGACACCAGUGUUGUUUUCUGAAAAUCAAUUAAAGAACUGUUUAUGCUAAGCUGUUUAGACUUUAUCAGCUAUCCGUUUAGUUUUGAGCUUUUCUUUAAUGCACUUUUCAGUUAACAAGUCAACAUCAAUUUCUUUUGCUGUAAAAAAGCUUGAGGAAGGUGGCUUGAGAUUCGUCUUAAGUGUUUAUAGCCUCUUGCCUAUGCAGUCGGAGAGAUUGAGGUCUGCAGCGUAGAUCCUUCGGGGCUAAAUGCAUUUGUGCUAAGUUAUAGCAUUUUAUAGACAACUUGUUGACUAUGAUUUGUCUUGUAGCUUACUCGCUUAUGUUAUUUUACCUACGCUUAGGAUGUUGACGAUCAGCUGAGCGC